UACGUAGGGCGCAAGCGUUAUCCGGAAUUAUUGGGCGUAAAGAGCUCGUAGGCGGUUUGUCGCGUCUGCCGUGAAAGUCCGGGGCUCAACUCCGGAUCUGCGGUGGGUACGGGCAGACUAGAGUGAUGUAGGGGAGACUGGAAUUCCUGGUGUAGCGGUGAAAUGCGCAGAUAUCAGGAAGAACACCCGUGGCGAAGGCGGCUCUCUGGUACGUGACUGACGCUGAGACGCGAAAGCGUGGGGAGCGAACAGG
rnacentral:rRNA from 1 species